UAGCCGUAAACGAUACUCGCUAGGUGUCGGCCACGGUGCGACCGUUGUCGGUGCCGUAGGGAAGCCGUGAAGCGAGCCACCUGGGAAGUACGGCCGCAAGGCUGAAACUUAAAGGAAUUAGCGGGGGAGCACAACAACGGGUGGAGCUUGCGGUUUAAUUGGAUUCAACGCCGGAAAUCUUACCGGGACCGACAGCAACAUGAAGGCCAAGCUGAAGACUUUGCCGGAUUAGCUGAGAGGUGGUGCAUGGCGUAGUCGUGU
rnacentral:rRNA from 1 species